rnacentral:rRNA from 1 species
GAUGAACGCUGGCGGCGUGCCUAAUACAUGCAAGUCGAGCGAACGGACGAGAAGCUUGCUUCUCUGAUGUUAGCGGCGGACGGGUGAGUAACACGUGAAUAACCUACCUAUAAGACUGGGAUAACUUCGGGAAACCGGAGCUAAUACCGGAUAAUAUUUUGAACCGCAUGGUUCAAACGUGAAAGACGGUCUUGCUGUCACUUAUAGAUGGAUCCGCUCUGCAUUAGCUAGUUGGUAAGGUAACGGCUUACGAAGGCAACGAUGCAUAGACGACCUGAGAGGGAGAUCGGCCACACGGGAACUGAGACAGGGUCCACACACCUACGGGAGGCAGCAGUAGGGAAUCCUACGCAAGGGACGAAUGCGUGACGGAGCAACGUCGCGUGAGUGAUGAUGGUCUGCGGAUCGGAGAACUCUGUUAUUAGGGAAGAAGAAAUGUGUAAUUAACUGUGAACAUCUUGACGGUACCUAAUCAGAAAGCCACGGCUAACUACGUG